rnacentral:rRNA from 1 species
CAGUCGCCGCGGUAAUACGAAGGGUGCAAGCGUUACUCGGAAUUACUGGGCGUAAAGCGUGCGUAGGUGGUGGUUUAAGUCCGUUGUGAAAGCCCUGGGCUCAACCUGGGAAUUGCAGUGGAUACUGGGUCACUAGAGUGUGGUAGAGGAUAGUGGAAUUUCCGGUGUAGCAGUGAAAUGCGUAGAGAUCGGAAGGAACAUCUGUGGCGAAGGCGACUACCUGGGCCAACACUGACACUGAGGCACGAAAGCGUGGGGAGCAAACAGGAUUAGAUACCCGCGUAGUCCCUGUCUCUUAUAA